UACAGAGGGUGCGAGCGUUAAUCGGAAUUACUGGGCGUAAAGCGCGCGUAGGCGGCUUUGCAAGUCGGGUGUGAAAUCCCCAGGCUUAACCUGGGAACUGCGUUUCUAACUGGCAGGCUUGAGUGUGGCAGAGGGGGGUGGAAUUCCACGUGUAGCAGUGAAAUGCGUAGAGAUGUGGAGGAACACCGAUGGCGAAGGCAGCCCCCUGGGCUAACACUGACGCUCAUGCACGAAAGCGUGGGGAGCAAACAGG
rnacentral:rRNA from 1 species